rnacentral:rRNA from 1 species
CAACGCCGCGUGAACGAUGAAGGCCUUUGGGUCGUAAAGUUCUGUUCUAGGUGAUGAAAACUGACAGUAACCUAGGAGAAAGCCCCGGCUAACUCCGUGC